CUUAUGUUUGGUAUGAGGGAAAGUGUUACUCGUGCAAUACUACAGUGCAGAUGGUGAUGUAUACUGACUUUAGAGUGCACUUUAUUUGUGAUAUGAUCUCAUUAUCAUGCUAUAGUCGGAGCUUUAUUAGGUACAGACAAAGUUGAAGAGGAAUCAAUUGACUCAAAGAGUAAGCUUUUUAAACUUACUCUACAUCUUAGCCAUUAAUUCUAGGGAAAUCUAAUGGUUUGGAUUAGUAGGUAGAUCUAAACCAUUGAAUUUCCCUAUAAUUGAUGGCUAAGAUGUGGAAUAAGUUUAAAAAAACUUACUCUUGGACUAAGUGGAUCCCCACCCGACGAAGUUAGCACUAACUUAAUAGAGUACUGCAAUGCAAAUGUUGAUAUACAUUGGCUUUGAAGUAUGCUUUAUUUAUGACAUGAUCUCAUUAUCAUAUGCAAUUGGAAGGUGAUCAGUGUUAUGUAUGUACAAAAAUCAGGAGUUUUUUGUAGGGUUAAAAAAUGGAGAGGUGAUCUGUGUAAUUUCACUAAAACUCAGAGGGUGUCAGUGUAAUUCACUCUAAUUGUUAUUGGAAAGAAUCAAUUACUUUUCUCUUCAUUAAUGGAAAGAAUAUUUGUUCACGGAGC